ensembl:lncRNA
AGCAACCGAACUGAGGAAUUCCAGCACCCAUUAGCAAACCGUAGGCUAGCAACGAGCUAGCUUACAGCUUCAGCCCUCUAUUGAUGUGUCGUUUGUGAACGAUCCGUUCAUUUUGAACGAAUCCUUACAAGGACUUGAGAGUAACGAGUCCUCUCAAAAAAAGAUUUGUUCAUUUUCUCGUGGCCACGCAUUGGGACUUGCAUAGGCUCAGCCAAGGAAACAGAAAUGAUUCGUUGAAUGCAGGUCACGUGGAAAAUGAUCCUUCUGCCAACCAAGUGAUACCAGUGCUGAGCCUAUGCAGGUCACGUGAAAAAUUAACGAUGAAAGAAUCAUUGAUCUACUCGCUACCAGUGCUGAGCCUUUGCAGGUCACGUGAAAAAUGAACGAUGAACGAUGAACGAAUCAUUGACCCGAAGGCUCGGUUGGCAGAUGACCGAAACAUUGACCCGAAGAACACGGUCGGGAGGUGAACGAUUCGUUUAUCUGCCGGAUACAGAUCUUUAGAUCAUUUUUCACGUGACCUGCAUAGGCUCAUCACUGAUCCACGCUAGCAUUGGGCUAACGUCCCCAUCCAUCCACGCUAGCAUCAGGCUAAUGAUCCCAUCCAUCCACGCUAGCAUCAGGCUAAUGAUCCCAUCCACCCACGCUAGCAUCAGGCUAAUGAUCCCAUCCAUCCACGCUAGCAUCAGGCUAACGUCCCCGUCCAUCCACGCUUCACUAUCAGGCGAACCCUUACAUACAACACUGUAACGUGUGGGUCUGUGGGGGUCCCGAAAUAAUGAGGAUGCGGCUGAGGGUUUUCGUGUCUUUAUUGUCUUAAACAGUCUUUAUUUUAUCCGUUUUACAAGCACGACCGGCUCCAGCCUCCUCGGUUCGUUCCCCGAACCACUCCCUUCUCCGUCCCCUCUGCAGCCGAGCCAAACCACGCCCGCCACCACAAACAGAUAAUGACAACCUCUCUACCAGACUGUGGACUUCACCGCUUUAUAACAAAGCUUUUUUGCAACGUAAAUGGAUCAGUACCGCCGCUGCCCAUUUUCAACACAGGGGACCGGCUAUGCCCCAGAGAGGAUCACUAUAAGACCGGCAAAAUAAAAGACGAGGUAUGUAAAUCCACUCAAAAUGGUUUUAUGUGGUUUAAUGCUCCUUCACAAGCAGCACCUGCUCAUCUAACAAGAUGUCACAAAGGUGGUCUCAUUCUGGUUAGGAAGAAACAAAAUAUAGCGUUUUAUGAGGUGAUUAUCCUCAAGUAUUUGUCUUUUAUACAUUUAAAUAAAGAGGAAAAUUGCAAAAGUAGAAUUUGUAGUUAGUUUAUUGAAACAUAAGAGCAACCCGUUGACCAUACAUUUGUAUGUGUAAGACAACAUGGGUGUGCAAAAAACAAAAAUGAGUUUAAGUGAAUACAAACAUCCAGUACAUAAUGUGAGACUUCUUAAGCCAGUUUCAGUGUC